GACGAACGCUGGCGGCGUGCUUAACACAUGCAAGUCGAACGGAAAGGCCCCUUUGGGGGUACUCGCGUGGGGAACGGGCGAGUAACACGUGCGUAACUUGCCCUCGACUUCGGGAUAACUACCUGAAACUGGGGCUAAUACCGGCUAGGAAUCCUCGCUGCAUGGUGGGGGUUGGAAAGCUUUGGCGGUUUUGGGUGGACUGGCGGGUGAUCAGCUUGUUGGUGGGGUAGUGGGUUACCUAGGCUUUGACGGGUAGCCGGCCCGGGAGGGCGACCGGCCACAUUGGGGCUGAGAUUCGGCCCAGACUCCUAACGGGGGCAGCAGUGGGGAAUAUUGCACAAUGGGCGGGAGCCUGAUGCAGCAACGCCGCGGGCGGGAAGGCGGCCUUCGGGUUGUAAACCGGUUUCAGCAGGGGCGAAGCUUGUGGUGACGGUACCUGCAGAAGAAGCACCGGCUAACUACGUG
rnacentral:rRNA from 1 species